rnacentral:rRNA from 1 species
UGCCAGCAGCCGCGGUAAUACGGAGGGGGUUAGCGUUGUUCGGAAUUACUGGGCGUAAAGCGCACGUAGGCGGAUCGGAAAGUUGGGGGUGAAAUCCCAGGGCUCAACCCUGGAACUGCCUCCAAAACUAUCGGUCUAGAGUUCGAGAGAGGUGAGUGGAAUUCCAAGUGUAGAGGUGAAAUUCGUAGAUAUUUGGAGGAACACCAGUGGCGAAGGCGGCUCACUGGCUCGAUACUGACGCUGAGAUGCGAAAGCGUGGGUAGCAAACCGGAUUAGAUA